UAUCAAUGGAGUGUCCUUUGAUAAUGUCCUUUUUAAAUUACUAUUACUAAUUUUAUUUUAUUAAGGGUAUUUCUGCUCUGCUUGUCAACAGGCCAAGAAGCAGGGUUUUACUUUGCUAAUAGGACGUGGAGCGCAGGGCUGGAGCAAAGAGGGCCAUAUCCUGACAUGUCGGAUUGCACAGGAAAAAAAAAGAACUGGAGACCACACGGAGACUGUUGCAGGCCAAAAAGUCUACAUGUAUGCUGCUUCAACUAAUGGCUCGGAUUAUGUUUAGUUUCUUUGCACAUAUAUAGUUGUUUGUCUUCCCAAAUAUAAGUUAUGUUUAGUACUUGACCUUGGAUUUCUAUUAAUAAAAGGCGAUGGAGUUGUUCAA